rnacentral:rRNA from 1 species
AAACGUUUUCUGCAUCCAGGAUUAGCCUAAAUCCUUUGGGAUAAGGUAUCAUGGAGGGUGAGAAUCCCGUUCAUGGUUAAUCUUAAGGAAGCUCUACGAUACGUUUUCCAAGAGUCGAGUUGUUUGGGAUUGCAGCUCAAAAUGGGAGGUAAAUUUCUCCUAAGGCUAAAUAUUGGCGAGAGACCGAUAGCGAACAAGUACCGUGAGGGAAAGAUGAAAAGAACUUUGAAAAGAGAGUUAAACAGUACGUGAAAUUGUCGAAAGGGAAACGAUUGAAGUCAGUCAUACCAACGGGAAAUCAACCUUUUGAGCUCGUCUCGUGGGUUUUGAAGAGUUUCAAAGCCUUCGGAUUCGCGGGAUUGGGAUCUCUUGGUGUACUUUUUCGUACAACUAGUCAACAUCGGCUUUGAAUGUCAUAAAAUGACUGGAGGAAUGUAGCUUCGAUCUCGUAUUGAAGUGUUAUAGCCUUUGGUAGAUGUGAUGUUUGAGACCGAGGAUUGCAACGGAUACCCUUUAGGGCUAUUCGUCUGAUCUCUGAUACGUUGCCUUGAUGUUGAAAGCUUG